UAUCUCUGUAGAGUCUGCAUAUCAAUAAGCGGAGGAAAAGAAACUAACAAGGAUUCCCCUAGUAACGGCGAGUGAAGCGGGAAGAGCUCAAAUUUGAAAUCUUCAAGGUUUGACCUUGACGAAUUGUAGUUUAAAGAAGUGUUUUCGGUUAGAGGAGUAGUAAAAGUUCUUUGGAAUAGGACAUCAUAGAGGGUGAGAAUCCCGUAUUUGACUAUUCUUUCUAGCUUUGUGAUACACUUUCAAAGAGUCGGAUUGUUUGGGAAUGCAGGUCCAAAAUGGGUGGUAAAUUUCAUCUAAAGCUAAAUAUUGGCGAGAGACCGAUAGCGAACAAGUACCGUGAGGGAAAGAUGAAAAGAACUUUGAAAAGAGAGUUAAACAGUACGUGAAAUUGUCAAAAGGGAAGCGUUUGACACCAGUGUUGUUUUUCCGAAAAUCAAUUAAAAAUUGAUUCAUGCCAGGUUGUAUUGACCUUAUCAGCUUGCAAUUUGGUUUUGGGUCUCUUUUUGAUGCACUUUUCGGUUAACAAGUCAACAUCAAUUUCCUUUGCUGUAAAAAGGUAAGAGGAAGGUGGCUUCAAUUUCGGUUGAAGUGUUUAUAGCCUUUUAUCUCUGCAGUCGGGGAGAUUGAGGUCUGCAGCGUAGAUCCUUCGGGGCUAGAUACAUUUAUGCUAAGUUAUAGCUUUUCAUAGACAACUUGUUGACUAUGUUUAGUCAUGUAGCUUACUCGUAAGUGCUAUUUUACCUACGCUUAGGAUGUUGAGCGCAUGUCUCUCUCU
rnacentral:rRNA from 1 species